rnacentral:rRNA from 1 species
UAUAGAGGUCUCAAGCGUUGUUCGGAUUCAUUGGGCGUAAAGGGUGCGUAGGUGGCGGGGUAAGUCAGGUGUGAAAUCUCGGAGCUCAACUCCGAAACUGCACUUGAUACUGCCUUGCUCGAGUACUGGAGAGGAGAUUGGAAUUUACGGUGUAGCAGUGAAAUGCGUAGAUAUCGUAAGGAAGACCAGUGGCGAAGGCGAAUCUCUGGACAGUUACUGACACUGAGGCACGAAGGCCAGGGGAGCAAACAGG